GACCACAAUUUCCCUUCCCUUUACUGCUCCCAACUCUCCACACCCCCAUCUCCCUCUCUCCUGGAUUGGAUCCAUUCACAUCAGAAAAGAGCUGGUUUCCAAGAAACAACAAUCAAAUUCAACAAAACAAAAGGCAAAAGCUGUCAUUGUGAGGGGGGACAGUAGGAGGGAAAGAAUUCCAAGAGGAGGCAAAAGAGUCAGAGAUACUGCUCCCACUGUCAGGAGUCCCACAGAAAUGGACACCAAGCUAACAGCCAAAACAAGUAGGCAGAGAGAGGACCUGGCGCCGCCCCAGCCACGCAGGCCCCGCCCCAGCCACGCAAGCCCCGCCCCAGCCACGCAAGCCCCGCCCCAGCCACGCAAGCCGGGUACUUGCCACUUCAGAGUCUGUGAGCUCACGUGAGUCCUGCUUAGUUGAUUCAGUGAGCUGGGUUCUCCUGCGUUGUCCAUCCUCUCUGACACUUAGAACGUUUCCUCUUCCUCUUCCUCAGGGAUCCUGGAGAUCUAAGAGGAGGGACCUGGGGCAAAGCUUCUUAGCAAGCUUGGAGAGUAAUUUGAGAGCCACCAAAGCGGUAUUGCUGCCCAGUGCUGAGAUCUGUAACUGCAGCUCUAUCUUCAAGAAGCCCACACCCCUAAUCUCAGUGUUUCUUCUUUUCCUGAGCCCUUUCUUUGUGUUUUUAACAAAUUCCAACUCUGCUUCAUAUGGAGUUGUCCUGAAAUUCUUUUCUAUGCAGGAGCUAUGGGUCUGGUUUUGUCUGAGUCCAGGGUCUCUGGCCCUGCGGCCACAGACAGUUCCAGUUCUGUGGAACAACAAGGCCCCUUGGCUUCUGUGUAGACUUCUAGCCUGCCACGCGGCUCUCCUGACUCCGCAGACCUCCUAGGCAUAUCUGGGAAAAGUUAUCCUCUGACUUAAGUGCUGUCUUACAAAUUGCCUGCUUCCUUGUCUUAUCAGCUCAGUGUGAACUUCCUUCCUGGUCUGUCCAGAUGUUUGUCAUUCCUGCCUCGGUGCCUUUCUCUCCUGUGAUACUUAAGAAGAGGCAGGGGGCCUCUUAUUUCAGCUUACCUUCAAGUUGUUUUGAAUUAACCCACAGGUCCGUUUACAGAUCACCUCACUCUGAGGAUCAGGUGUGGGUCUGAAUAACUUCUUGUUUGCCAAGAUUUAUCCAGCACCAUUUUAACAAACCCUUUGCUGUGUGAGGAGUUUGUUCUUCCAUGUAUUAGGUUUUUAGAAAUAGUUGACCAUGACUUCUAUUUUCCAUUUAAUCUGCCUGUGCCUAUACUAGUAACUCUUGUCAGACAUGUUUUCCAUAGAAUGUUCUUUGGGCUUUGUUCAUAUUUAUUUAAACACACACACACACACACACACACACACACACACACACACACACACACACAUUUUGCUAUUGAAAUGUUUUGUUGCUUUUGAAUAGAAAACCCCAGUUAAAAGAAACAUUCUAACUUUGUAUGUCUGUGUGUGUGUGUGUGUGUGUAGACACAUACAUGUGCACAUCUAUACUUUGUGUGUGUAGAGGGUAGAGGUGUCUCAUCCACAGCAACUCUACCCACCUCUUUUGAAACAGGGUCUCUCACUGGCCUGGAGCUCACAAUUGAACUAGCCAGGAAGCCCUGAGUGCUGGGAUCACAAGCAUACACCACCACACUCUGGCAUUGUAAAGUCAGUUUCUGGGAAUUGAAAUCAGGUCCUCAGGAUUGCAAG
rnacentral:lncRNA from 1 species